GUGCCGUUUUUAGCAUAACUCAUCCCUUUUCUUGCAGAUAUUUUUGGUAGACUAAGUAGUAUCUGCAGCCAGUCAAUUUCUAUGGUAGUUUAGAAACCAAUUUGGGAUUUUCUUGGUUUAUUUCAAAGGCAUAAGCAAAAUCCACUUAAUCUUAAGAAGGUUUCUGCUGGUUAUGAGAGGAAGCAUUGAUACCGGUGAUCUAGCAUGUGCAGUUCUGGCUGCUUGCUAGCAUGAGGCUAUGCUGCUGAUUCAGAAAUCUUUUGGAGGGAGUGAGGGAGGAAGGCAUGUCUGCCUAUAUCUUGUAGCAGGGUGGAGGAAGCAGCAACACAGUCGAGCGGUAAUGUUGAUGUGCCCGAGCAGCACCGUGUCAGAAGCUGUUAAAUAAUUAAAUAAAGGAUUUGGGCGUUGGUGAAGGUUAACCACCUGGUGCAUCCGGUUUUAAUGAUUAAAACCGAAUGGUUAGUCCAGGUUGGUCGGGUUUAUCAGACACUAACCCUGUUUCAAAUCAAAUCAAGCUAAAUCAUCUGGUCCACAUCCCUUUUUCCGGUUGGACUGGUUAAUAUUGGACCGGUCUUCUAAUCCUUGGUUGGGAGCAAGAUGAGACUUGAGAGAACAUUUCAGUUUGUCUGCAAAUGUGUGAAGAGUGUUUGUUGUUAUCUUGGGCAUCAUGGGGAUUGAGAAGCUCAACUUCAAAUGGAGGUGUCCACGUCACUAAUGUCACAGUGAAAAUGGACAUAUUGACUGUUGUGACUCGAAAGGAUAUGGUCCAUAAUAAAGCUGAAGCAGAUGGGGACAAUGAUUGGUACCAAAGGCUUUCUAAUCUUGUCAUCUCCACAAUGCAUGUUAUUAUCCACUGCUUCCGUGAUAACUAUAUAUCAUAGCAUAACAAGGGAUUUCUUUUCCACCUUUAAAAUGUUGUUGCAAAUUUUACUCAAUUAUCACAUCUUAUACUGGAAAUAACAUGAGCUGAAGAGGUUGCUUCACUGAAUGUAGUUCUCAACAUUGUGCAAGCAAUGCAUGUGGCAUGCUCUUGUUGUGUAUUAGACUCUUAUUUGGCUUUAUCUUGGAUUAGUUAUUCCAUGUCUUUGUUCUAUA